rnacentral:rRNA from 1 species
GUCGUACAGGUCUCCGUAGGUGAACCUGCGGAGGGAUCAUUACACAAAUAUGAAGGCGGGCUGGAACCUCCCGGGGUUACAGCCUUGCUGAAUUAUUCACCCUUGUCUUUUGCGUACUUCUUGUUUCCUUGGUGGGUUCGCCCACCACUAGGACAAACAUAAACCUUUUGUAAUUGCAAUCAGCGUCAGUAACAAAUUAAUAAUUACAACUUUCAACAACGGAUCUCUUGGUUCUGGCAUCGAUGAAGAACGCAGCGAAAUGCGAUAAGUAGUGUGAAUUGCAGAAUUCAGUGAAUCAUCGAAUCUUCGAACGCACAUUGCGCCCUUUGGUAUUCCAAAGGGCAUGCCUGUUCGAGCGUCAUUUGUACCCUCAAGCUUUGCUUGGUGUUGGGCGUCUUGUCUCUAGCUUUGCUGGAGACUCGCCUUAAAGUAAUUGGCAGCCGGCCUACUGGUUUCGGAGCGCAGCACAAGUCGCACUCUCUAUCAGCAAAGGUCUAGCAUCCAUUAAGCCUUUUUUUCAACUUUUGACCUCGGAUCAGGUAGGGAUACCCGCUGAACUUAAGCAUAUC